GCCCCCGUUGUCUAAUGGCUAUGACGUCAGACUUCUACUUCACCGGGCUGUGACGAGAUCUGGAAGUUGCGGGUUCGAGUCCCGCCGGGGGUA